rnacentral:tRNA from 1 species
CACUACUCAGUUGGUAGAGCACAAGGCUCUUAACCUUGUGGACGUGGGUUCAAGCUCCAUGGUGA